UGGGGAAUAUUGCACAAUGGGCGCAAGCCUGAUGCAGCCAUGCCGCGUGUGUGAAGAAGGCCUUCGGGUUGUAAAGCACUUUCAGCGGGGAGGAAGGCGUUAAGGUUAAUAACCUUGGCGAUUGACGUUACCCGCAGAAGAAGCACCGGCUAACUCCGUGCCAGCAGCCGCGGUAAUACGGAGGGUGCAAGCGUUAAUCGGAAUUACUGGGCGUAAAGCGCACGCAGGCGGUUUGUUAAGUCAGAUGUGAAAUCCCCGGGCUCAACCUGGGAACUGCAUCUGAUACUGGCAAGCUUGAGUUUCGUAGAGGGGGGUAGAAUUCCAGGUGUAGGGGUGAAAUGCGUAGAGAUCUGGAGGAAUACCGGUGGAGAAGGCGGCCCCCUGGACGAAGACUGACGCUCAGGUGCGAAAGCGUGGGGAGCAAACAGG
rnacentral:rRNA from 1 species